UUCAAUUUGAUAGAUACUACAUAGAACAUACAAAACACAAGUGGUGGUAAUUACCACCGAUGAUAGAUAAAACUUGUCUUGGCCCACUCCAACAAGAUGUAUAUAUAUGCAUCGGGCUGGCUAGCAAGCCAACUCCAACAAGAUGUCUAGGUCCAGCACGGACAGUCAAUCCUAAGAGGACUUUACCUGUACACUAAUUACUAAUUCCUAAACCAGCUAGGACAACUCGUACAUGAUCAGGGUAUCCACGUGAAAACUUUCCACCUCACUUAAGCACCGCCCACCCUAAUCAUACUUAGAAUUAACCAGGCUCAAUUAAUAAG
rnacentral:lncRNA from 1 species